AUCACCUGGAAUCUUGUUAAAAUGCAGAUUCCAUUUUAGUAGAUCUGGGAUGGAGCCCGAGAUUCUUCAUUUCUAACCAGCUCCCAGGUGAUUCCAA
rnacentral:pre_miRNA from 1 species